rnacentral:rRNA from 1 species
GACGAACGCUGGCGGCGUGCUUAACACAUGCAAGUCGAACGAAGUGGCGAACGGGUGAGUAACGCGUAAUCAACCUGGCCUUCCGAGGGGGACAACAGUUGGAAACGGCUGCUAAUACCGAAUACUGAAGGAGGGGAUUGCGUCUGAUUAGGUAGUGGGAGGGGUAACGGCCCCCCAAGGCGAGGAGCAGGAGCCGGUCUGAAAGGGUGAACGGCCAAAUUGGGACUGAGACACGGCCCAGACGCCUACGGGAGGCAGCAGUGGGGAAUCUUCCGCAAUGGACGAAAGUCUGACGGAGCAACGCCGCGUGAGUGAUGACGGCCUUCGGGUUGUAAAGCUCUGUUAGUCGGGACGCGGUACCGGAAUAGAAAGCCACGGCUAACUACGUGCCAGCAGCCGCGGUAAUUC